rnacentral:rRNA from 1 species
UACGUAGGGGGCUAGCGUUGUCCGGAAUCAUUGGGCGUAAAGCGCGUGUAGGCGGCCCGGUAAGUCCGCUGUGAAAGUCCAGGGCUCAACCCCUGGGAUGCCGGUGGAUACUGUCGGGCUCGAGUCCGGAAGAGGCGAGUGGAAUUCCUGGUGUAGCGGUGAAAUGCGCAGAUAUCAGGAGGAACACCAAUGGCGAAGGCAGCUCGCUGGGACGUGACUGACGCUGAGACGCGAAGCGUGGGAGCAAACAGG